AAAUAGAAGGAGGUGAAGAGGAUGAGGGGACUGAAGGAGGAGGAGGUGAUAUGGUGGAUCUUGCUGGGGUGGGGGGUGGAGAAAGAGGUUCAGAACCUGAUGGAGGAGGGGGUGAAGGAGAAUUUUGAGGUGAGCUUGCCACCGGUGGGGGUGGGGAACUGGAUGAAGUUGGAGAUGGAACAUUGUCUGGAGGAGGUGUAGAAGGUGAAACAGCUGGAGGGGAAGGUGGGGUCCCUACAGGAGGGGCUGGGGAAACCCGGGGAGAGGGAGAACCUUCUGAUGGAGGUGGUGGGGACAAAACUGGAGGGGGUGUUGAGUUCACAGCUGGAGGAGGGGCAGAUGUUGGAGGUGAUGGUGGCGGUGAUGCUGGAGGUGAUGGUGGUGGUGAUGCUGGAGGAGAUGGUGGUGGUGAUGCUGGAGGUGAUGGUGGUGGUGAAGUUGGUGGUGGUAUUGAUGCAGGCGGCGGUGGUGGUGAUUCUGGAGGAGAGGCAGUAACUGAUGGUGGAGGAGAUUGAGUAGGUGGGGGUGAAGGAUUAGAAGGGGUUGAGGGUGCUACUUGGUCAGAAGUCUGAUUAGGAUCAGAGCCAGCAGGAGGUUGUGAAUUACUGGAAGAAUUUGAAGAAGAGGAAGAUGACGGGGAGGUAGCAGUGGAAGGAGGAGAAUUUGGAGAAGGUGACGCUGAAGCCAUCUCUCUCCGAAAUUUCCUUUCUAAAAAUUGUGUAUCUACACUUCACUAUAUUAAUUUCACCAAAUCAUAUCUUGUAGCUCUCCAAUCUUCGCCCAAAAAACAUAUGGAACCGCACCAUUCCAAAGCAAUGUUCCAUCCCAAAAAUUGCAAAACACAACAACCCAAAGAAGAAUCCUAUUCACUCAAACAAACAAGACCUAGUUCAUAAAACCUUCAGAUGAGAAAAAUCCAAUAAUUUACAUACUCUUCCACUACAAAUACGCAAAUUCUUCGAACACUAAUAAGCCCUAAAAAAACCCAAUUCCACAAGACUAAGCAAAACCCAGUUCAGAAAACCCUAAUAUGAGCAACACCCAGAUAUCAAAUUUCGAGAUUUUGAGCAAAAAGCACAGAUCAAAAUUCAAAACAGUUCAGUUUGAACGACCCCAGAAGUCCUGAACUGGUUUUAACAAAACCCAGAUUUACAAAUGCACUCCAGAACCCAGCACUGUUACGAGCAAAUGUAGCACACUGGAAGCACCAGAAUGAAAGUCCAGAAAUCCCAAAUGCUAAAAACCCAAGAAAACCUUACCAAUCCCCCUCUAAUUGAAGAUUUUCGAAACGCGUCUUACCAAAUCCUGCUAGUGUGUGUUGCCUGGAAGCUUCUUGUCCAGAUGAAGCAGCAAAGCAAAGAACUCGGCAAAUUGGCCCAAAAAUUUUGCAAACAAACGUGGAGGCGACUUCACAGAACAGUUCUCACAGAUAUCGAGUAUAAAACCAACCAAACAACACCAUGAUCUGAGCUCAACGAGUACAGAAAUAUUAGCUGUUGAUGGAAAUAGUUAAUAGAUAUAAAAAGGGAAAGAGGUCAUCCUCGGCUGAAGUCAAGGAACCACUCAUCCCCACCAGGCCAUGUUAGAGCUCCCUUUCCACCUUUUUUCCCAUUAACACCAAUAGUCAGCGCUCAAAAUCAUGGGGGCUUUCUUUGAGUGAUUUUCCAAGAUCUCAUUCUCACUCUCUGCCAACUGCAACAUUAUUUAUUUCUACAGCAUGGAUUAGUAUUUUACAACCAUUUUUACAGUUAUUUAUAACGAUAAACCACCGCCAGAAGAAUCAUUGUUGGUGAGCUAAUGAUGGAUCCAUGGGAAAUGGUUUUCUUACAAGCAAUUGCACAUGUAGUUGUAUAACUUUUGCUCUCCAUCACAAGCCUUUUCCAGAGCUGAAUGAUAGUAUAUUAUAUUAUUUAUUUACUAAAUCCCUUAUAUUAUAUUAAGGUUCAAGGCUCAAUUCUUCUUCUAUAAGAGUAAGACUAACAAAGUAAUGAUUUUAUUCAUGCCUCAUCAUAGAAAAUAUUUCUAAUUUUGUACUAAGAAUCCAAAAAUUGAUGAAAUUUCAGAGGAAAAAACAUAUUAUCUUGAACGGUGGAGAAGGGAAUAUAUGAAGGAAUGUCUAAAUACUAUCCACUUAGAAUAUGAAAUUUAAAAUUUUCUAAUGCUUUGACAUGCCUAAGAAUAAGAAUUCACCAUUAUGCACUCUUUCUUGGAGUACACAAAUUUCAAUCCAUUUGUGUGUCCCAUAAAGCAGCCCUAGUGUUUUGAAAUUCCACUUUUGGUGAAGAACGGCUUUUCCUUUUUGAGACCUCUUAAACACAACAACAUGCUUUAAAAGAUGAUUCUGAUAAAACUAAUGGGGGCCAUGCCAUGAGCAAUGUGCCUAAGCUUUUAUUUGAAAAAAGUAACAAAUAAAUUAGCACUAUGACCCACGUUUGGCUGACCUGUAAUUUGGGCCUAGGAACAUGUUAGCCCAGGUUGAAUCUGAAGGGAAAGCAUAUGGUCAUUGAAUUAGAAAAAUAUUUGUACUUCAUUUUCUAGAUUAAGAGAAUAACUUUUUUCUACUUAAGACCAAACAAAUAACCUGAUUUCAUUUGAAUUUAAUCCCAGUUAAUGAAUAUAGGAAUAUACACUCUUUACUCCCAACCCCAAAAACCAAAGAGAUUAUUGGGGUUCAGAAUUUAUGGGCUUUUUAUGGGGUUGACUUGGCUGAAAAUCUAGGCAAGAAGAUAUUUUCUACUCCUCAAGAAAAGCAGCCAUUGAAGGGGAAAGAAGCAACAAGAACCAAAAAUAAAAAGGGAAUAGUUGGAGAAAGAAGCUUGCAUAUCACGGGAUGCUAAAGUCACUACAAGACACUAAGAAGGGUCAUGGAAUGGUAUAAUUUCUGUGAAUCAAGACAAGGGAGGGUGACAAAACAACAAUGGGGUAUCUUCUCCAACAGCGUCACAAGAUGAGAAUCAAUAUUCUUUGGCUUAUAAAAAAAAAAGGAGGAAUUCAUUAAAGCAAAUACUAAAGAUAGAGGAGCCACAUUUUAUUCAAAUACAUUACAAAUAUAAGAUAAGACAAUAAUUUCAGUGACAAUAAUGGCUAAACAAGCAGUAUUUUCCUCCCUCAAAUCUCCCUUCCUCUUCAUCCCCUCUACUGUGGAUCCACCACAAAAGGUUUGUAAGUGAGUUUCCAUCAUCAUAGCCAUUCAGUUUCCUGAUCUUCUCCAAAGCCCCUUCUUUGUCAUAAAUCCCUUCCAUGGCAUAUAGAAACCCCUUCCACCCUUCUCCAACUCCCUCCCUUCCCAAAGCUGGCAAUGUCCAUUUCACCAGCUCUCUCGCAAACUGCACAUCAGAGAACAGAACCUCGGUGAUGGGCAAUACAGGUAACACCUGAAUUCCAAGCCUGCACUCUCUCCACUCAGGAGGAGCAAACCAAAGUCCACCGUCCCUCUUGUUAGCCCACAGAACACCCACCACCCGGUUCUCCCUUGUGAAAUCUUCUGCUUCUGCAUAUAUUUUAUCCCCUUCUCUCACAUGCCACCACGUUUGAGCUGCCUUUAUCUCCAUUGCUGCAAGCAUUGAUCCAGUGGCUACAAGAUGGGUGUCUCCAUAGGCUAAUCCCAUCAAUGCUGCAGAAUAGUAAGCAUUCACAGCUUCACUAGUGCUCUCUUGGUUCCGCCCAUCUGCAAAUUCGGUCAGCCCACUAGCCCAAGAAUGCAAUUUCCAUAAAUCAAAACACCUCAAACGAGGAUAGUUGGAACUCGAAUGCCUCCCUAAGGUCAUAAAAUCUGCCAUUAGGGAAUAAGCUUGAGGUCUAUACUUCCUCCCCCAUGCAGGGUCAAUCUUGGCCAGCACUGCAAUUGCAUAAAGAAAAUAACCAAGAUGGAAAUGGUGAUCGUUGUACACUCCAAAACCAAAAUCUGCCCCCGAAUCCGUUGAUCCUUGUCUAGUAACAAGUCCACCCCACUUUCCUUCAUAUAAGAAACCAUUCCCACUAAAAGUCCCAUCCAACCAUGGGGUAAUCGUAUUCUUCAAGAACUUCCUAAUCACCGGUAUCACAUCAAGAAAGCACACCUCCUCUGCAAUCAAUGCCAAUCUCGCCGCCCUGGCAAUCAAUUUCCCAUAAAAAUAAGACGAUGUUGUUGAUAUAUUGGAUGAAUUCAGAUCCUCAACAUCUCUGCAAAGCGCAGAAACAAUUUCAGGAAAUGAUUCUUCCUUGACCCCUUUAAUUGAAUUCCAGGUUAUUGAGACCGGGUCUAAUUUCAAUUUCCAUGAAUCUCCAACAACACCUACAAGCUCACCAUCAAUACUGUUAAACUUGAAAUCAUCCAAAACAGCGACCUCAUCAUCAGCCGACAAAAGCCGAAGAUGUAGAGGAUGAGCCAGCAUGAGCAAGUCUCCCCAUCCCUUCUUAUCCCAUCUGUACUCUAAACAAAAGGGCUUACUCAAUUCAGCUUUCCCUGAUAUGGGAUAGCAAGAGCUGAAUCUAUCAAGGAUCGACUCGAAUCUUGGAUUGGAAUCUGGCAGUAUGGCAAUCCGAAUUAUGCCGGAAUACGCAUCAGAAGUUAUGGAAGAAAUAUCAUGGGUCAAAUUAAUCGCAGAAGAAGUGUAAAGCAGCCAAGUUUGACCGUUGUUGAGCUUAAUGGUGUACUUGGUGCGAGAACUGCUUGGUGAGAAUGAGAGAAUCGCAUGGAUCGUCGUGAUGGAAAGGGCGGUCCCACCGGAGACGGCGCAGGUGAGAAACGGGCUUCCUCGGACCAGGAAAAACCGGAGAUUCGAGGAAGGGAGGUCUAGAGUGACGCUGAGAUCACUGAAGGAAGACACAAUGUGGCGUCUCUGAGAAUCUGGGUCAGUUUUGUUGGAGGCGGAGAUGGUGAGAUCAGGAUUGAAGAUUUGGUAGAUGAAAACAGAGGUCAAGAACUGAGAUGGGUAUGAGAGGGAGAGAGAGGAGGAGGAAGAUUUGAUGAGAUAGGGAUGAAUAUACUCAGGCUGAUCACCAUGUUUGAGAACAAAGUUUUGGAAGAAGGAAUUGGUGGGAAGUGGGGCAGUAAGGAGGUCGGGAGAAAAGAAGGGGGAAGGAUCAGGUAUGACUGAGGAUUCGAUUUUUGGAAAGAGGAAGGGGGAGGAUUGUGGAAUGUGAUGGUGGUGAUGGGGUUCUGCCAUGAUUGGUGAUGAAGGAGACAGAGGAGACAAAGGAGACAAAGGAGGAGGCGGAGAAGGAGGUGGAGUUAUGGUUUUGGGGGUUUUAGGUGGUUUUGAACGUUUUUUGAAGCUCUUGCUAAUCACGAGUUUGACUUUUCUUCUGAUUUUUUUCAACAUCUCGAGGUGAUUGAUUGGUGAGCCUUGACCCAACUGUUAAAUUAUCGAAGAACGCAAAUAGAUCGAGGAUUUGUUAGGGAUUUUGAUACAGAAAACGGAGAAAAUGGAGGCAAUGGAAACGGAGAAAAUGGAGGCUGUUUGCCUCUAAUUGGAUGGAACUUUCCACCCACAUUCACAACCAGAGUGGGGUAGGUUUGGCCCUUUUGGGUGGGACUUGAAUUAAGAAUGUGAAAACAGGGAAAUGGGGGAAGUAAGAGGAAGAAGAAUGGAUUGGAAGGGAAGUUUGUGGGCUCUGCAAGUUAUGGUUUUGAUGAAUGGCAUGAUUGCAAGACAUGUUAAAUGGUUUUCAAAGGAAUAUGUGUAGGGAGGGACAAGACACUGGGGUGGUUAGGGAAUGUUUGGCAUACAAGAAAGUAAUGGGGUGAAUAUUCCUUUUUUAAGUUUUUCAGAGAAUGAGUGAAGCUUCACAACAUUUAGACAAUGGAUGCCACCUAUUUUAACCAAUGCUAAUGUUUUGAACCCUUGAUUUAUAUAACCAAACACAUCUUUCAAUUUCAGGUAUUUGAUUUUGGGUAAUUUCUCUUAUUGCAAGAAAGCCUUGCUACAAAGAAAGAAUAGCAAGAAAAGAAGAAAAAUUUUAGAAAAUGUCAACCAUCCAUGAGAAUAAUGGUGUAGUCAUUCACACAAAGUCUCAUGAGAAUUUAUAACACUUCUUGAUAUCCGUUGUCUUAUAUUUUGGGCUUAGAUUUCAAAAGAAAGAAUCAAUUGUAUUUUGGGCUUGAAAUUUCUUUGGGGUUUUGGCCCAAAUUGGGUUUUUAAAUAAGCAAUUGGGUUUGGUCCAAACUAGUUUGAGCCCAAUUAGUCCAUUAAAAAUGUUUAAAACCCUUUUCAACAAAUUUAAUUUCCAAUAUCAAAAGAUUCAAAAUCUAAUUCGAAGCUUUUGUUUUAACCUAUUUUUGAAUGAAGAACCUACCCAACUGUACCAAAUUACACUACAUAUUAUAGUUAAUACCACAUAAGCAACGCCAACAAUCACUCUAACCCCAUUAUUUCCUGCAUAAUGAGAAUUUUUUUUAUAAUUGUUCUGUGAUUUAAAAAUAGGAAAAUUAUCAAAAAAGUGGGCUAAAGAUGAUAAUGUCUAGGAAGAACUUAUGAAUUCAUAUGAAGGACAAAAUUUAUCAUAGUAUAAUUAUGUAUUUGAAUGUGAUCUUUUAUAUAUAAAUAACUUCAUGAUGAUGAUAAGGAUAGUCUAUCAAUAUUUGCAUAUAUCGGUUUCCAAAAUAUCAUUUUUCCCUUUUGAAUAAUAUUUGCAUAUAAGGAUACUCAAUCAAUAUUUGCAUAUAAAUAACUUCAUGAUGAAUUCAUAUUAUUUUUUCUUUGACCUAUAUAUAUAUAUAUAUAUAGGUCAAAGAAAAAAUAAUAAAAUAUUAAAAUAAAAAAUUAUAUAUUUUUUUUGUUAUUUUCAUUAUAAUAAAUUAAAUUAUUUGAAAUAUACUUUUUUUUUUCAAGUUCUUUUUUUUUCUUCAAAAAACUUGAGAUUUUUUAGAGAAUCCGGUAAAAAAAAUUAAUUUUCAAUCUCUCCUAAAUAAAAAUCACGCCCUAAGGUUAUUAUGUCAUUAUAUAUAUAAUUAAAAGUUUUAUUAUUCUAAUAGAAUAAACAAUGAUUUUUCACGAGUACUCAUCAAUUGAAAAAUAUUCAACUAUUUGUUUGGUAAUAUAGCAUGUGAAUUUUUUUUUAAAAUAAAUUAAAUUAUGUUAUAAUGUAUUAUUACAUUAGUGUAUUUGUAUUAUAAGUAUACUGCAUUUAUGUUGUACCUAUAUUUUAUGACAAAAGUAAUGAUUCUAAAAAUACCUAUUCAUACCCUAUUGUAUCUUAUAUAAAAGUUAUUAGUAUUUUCUCAUUUAAAAAAAAAAAGUAUAUCCAAAUUAUAAAUCUAACCUCUAUUUUUAAAUUAAUUUCAAGGUAAAAAGAUGAAAAGAAUGUUAAGUACAACGUAUGUCUUCAACCAAGAUAAAGGAAAGGAUCAAUUAUGUGUAAAAGAGAGACUCAAAUAAAGUAGAAGAGUUCAAGUAAAGGUGUGAGCAAGUCUUACGCAUGAGAGAUUGGAAAUAAAUAUUAUGGAGAGAGUUAGAGAACGCACAACCAUAAGAGAUAAGAAAUAAAUAUUAUGGAGAGAGUUAGAGAGCGCACAACCAUGAGAGAGAAGGUUUGAAGCCUUGUUGUCAAGUUCAAAGGGAAAUUGGAACUCAAACUAAUGCAUCAACACUAACCCUAACUUUGAGUUUAAUUCUAGGUAGACUCCUAUGAGUUUUAUGAUAAAUCGCACAUAUAGUUUGGAAGCUUUUAAAAGUCAGAAAUCCAACUCUUUAAAUUAUUUGUAAAUCAAAGUUAAAACAAAGAAGAUAUGAUAAACCCAAUUGAAUUACAUGGAAAAAAAAUAGUCUAAUUUAAAAAUUACAAAUUAAGCUCUAAAUAGUGUUCAAUCAUUUGGACCUCAAAGGCAAUACGACAAAGAAAAAGGCACCGGUGAAAUUUGAAACCCAACAUUCAUUUUGAAUAUAGGGACACUAUUUUAAACCCAAAACACGGAGGAAACAAAAUAAGUAUUGGUUGAGUUUGAAAUAAUCGGUAGAUUUCAAACUCAACUAGUUAAUUUUGUACUAAACCAUUUUAGAGACUUAGGCCACUUAUGAGUAUGAGAAAGCAAAACAUUAUUGAGAUUUUGCUAUUUUUUAUCUUAAAAAAGGUUGAAUAGUUCUAAAAUGAUCAUAGCUACCUUUUAGGUAGAUAAAUAACAAGAGUGGCUAUAAAGACUUUGUAGGCAAAAGGAGCAACAAGGGUGUUUUGGUAUUUUCCACAAACUUAUAUUUGUGUGUAUAUGUUAAGGUUAUUAUUAUUAUUAUUAUUAUUAUUCACUUGAAAGUCCUAAACUUUAUUGUUUAAUGAUCUAAUUUUAUUAGAAGUUUGUUCUUUCUUAGGUUCCAAUUUGGGUGGUUCAACUCAAAUCUAACUAACCCAAUUUUGCAUGGACUUAGGUGAUUUAAUUUGUAAAUUAGGUUUGGCUUGGUCAAAAAAUAUCAACCUAGAUUAAAUUUAGGUUGGGCUUGGGUAAGGGUCUCAAGAAACCUCAACCUAGCACAAACCCAAUUGUAUAUUUGUAUAAAAUUUAAAUUAUAAAUUUUUAUGUAUGUAUUGUAUGUAUGUAUAUAUAUUAUUUCAUGGUAUUGUACUGAGAAUCUUUUUGGUAAUGCUUUCAAAAAUUAUUUCUAGCUUAAAAAGUCAUUUUUGAAAAAAUGAUCAGACAAAAUUUAAAAAAUACUUUUAUAAAGUUAAAAAAUCACUUGUAGUGUAAACGACCUGAACAGUUGGAGAAAAGAAACUUAGCAUUUCACAUGAUGCUGAAGCAGAUGUGGAAUAGUUGUUCUUCAGUUUCAGCUAAGAAAUUGAGAAGACAGGGCAAUAUGCAUAAAUCAAUCCAGUCAUGGCUGCCCAAAGGAAAGAUUCAUCCAAUCUUCGGGCAUAAUUUAUUCGACUACAUCCCGAAUGUAAGGCAAAGAAUUUCACUGAUAAUACUGGCCAAACCAGGAUAAUUUUCCUCCUUCAAGUCCCCCUUCCCCUUCAUCUCCUCUGCUGUGAAUCCACCACAAAAGGUUCGUAAGUGAGUUUCCAUCAUCAUAACCACUCAGUUUCCCGAUCUUCUCCAAUGCCACUUCUUUGUCAUAAAUCCCUUCCAUGGCAUAUAGAAACCCCUUCCACCCUUCUCCAACUCCCUCCCGUCCCAAAGCUGGCAAUGUCCAUUUCACCAGCUCUCUCACAAACCCCACAUCGGAGAACAGAACCUCGGUGAUGGGCAAUACAGGUAACACCUGAAUUCCAAGCCUGCACUCUCUCCACUCAGGAGGAGCAAACCAAAGUCCACCGUCCCUCUUGUUAGCCCACAGAAUACCCACCACCCUGUUCUCCCUUGUGAAAUCUUCUGCAUACAUUUUAUCCCCUUCUCUCACAUGCCACCAUGUUUGAGCUGCCUCUAUCUCCAUUGCUGCAAGCGUUGACCCAGUGGCUACAAGAGGGGCAUCUCCAUAGGCUAAUCCCAUCAAUGCUGCAGAAUAGUAGGUAUUCACAGCUUCACUAGUGCUCUCCUGGUUCCUCCCGCCUGAAGAUUCAGUCACCCCACUUGCCCAAGAAUGCAAUUUCCAUAAAUCAAAACACCUCAAACGAGUAUAGUUGGAAUUCGAAUUCCUCCCUAAGUUCAUGACAUCCGCCAUUAGGGAAUAAGCUUGAGGUCUAUACUUCCUCCCCCAUGCAGGGUCAAUCUUGGCCAGCACUGCAAUUGCAUAAAGAAAAUAACCCAGAUGGAAAUGGUGAUCGUUGUACACUCCAAAACCAAAAUCUGCCCCCGAUUCCGUUGAUCCUUGUUUAGUAACAAGUCCACCCCACAUUCCAUCAUACAAGAAACCAUUCCCACCAAAACUACCAUCCAACCAGGGGGUAAUCGUAUUCUUCAAGAAAUUCCUAAUUGCCGGUAUCACAUCAAGGAAACUCACCUCCUCUGCAAUCAGUGCCAAUCUCGCUCCCCUGGCAAUCAAUUUCCCGUAAUAAUAAGAGGAUGGUGUCCAUAUACCACCGGAUGAAUUCAGUGAUGGAAAGGGCGGUGUGGGCGGAGACAGCGCAGGUGAGAAAGGGGCUUCCCCGGACGAGGAAGAAGCGGAGAUUGGAAGAAGGGAGGUCUAGAGUGACACUGAGAUCACUGAAGGAAGACACAAUGUGGCGCCUCUGUGAAUCAGCGUGGGUUUUGUCCGAGGCAGAGAUGGUGAGAUCAGCAUUGAAGAUUUGGUGGGUGAAAACAGAGUUGGAGAAAUGAGAUGCGUACGUGAGGGAUAGGGACGAGGAAGAAGACUUGAUGAGAUAGGGGUGGAUAAACUCAGGCUGAUCGCCAUUUUGAAGAACAAAGUUUUGGAAGAAAGAAUUUGUGGGAAGUGGGGUUGAGAGGAGGUCAGGAGAAAAGAAGAGGGAAGGGUCAGGGAGGACUGAGGAAUUGGUCCUCGGGAAGAGGAAGGGGGAAGACAGCUGAUUUUGGUUUUGUGCCAUGGAUGGUGAUGAAGGAGCUUGAUGAGGGGACCGAGCCGGGGGGGUUGGGGUUUAGAGGUUUUCUUGAAGCUCUUUCUGAUUAUGAAGUGUAACAGGGUCUCUUCAACACUUAAUACUAGUGGAUAUGGCUUAACCCAAUUAUUAAUUAACUGAUAAAUCAAUGGAUAAAGGAUUUUGUUACAGAAAAGGGCCAAAAUGGAGGAAGCUAGCUGAGAAAGCAGGGAACGGAGGAUGUUGGUGGACGGCGACUGAAUAAACUUUCCGCCCAAAUUCAAAGCCAUUGGCCUCUUCUUUCAUGUUUUAUUAUUAUCUGCAUACAUCUCUACAUGUGACUGAAUGCCUUAAAAAAAUUCUUAAAAUUCAAGCACAUUAGUUAAUUUUGAUGAUUUCUUUGGUUUGCUAAAAGGAAAAACAUGCCAUCUAAAACAUUCAAUCUUUCAUCCACUGAUAGAAUAAAACUUGGGAGUCCAAAAUACAUUUCAAACACCCUACCCCAUACUAUGUUUACAUUAUCACAUGUGAACUAGGGAUCACAUGGGAACGCUCAAACAAAUCUAUAACCUAUGUUAUCUUGAACAGGGUAUCACGUGGGAUCCUGCACAAUAUUGAGUGAUUUUUUAAUUUUAUUUUAUAUUAUUUAAAUUAUUUGGUAUUUUAUUUAAUAAUACUAAUAAAUUUUGUCCUCUUAUAAUAUUGAAAUAUACUUUUCCGAUAAGUGUCUAAAAUUUGUUUUAACUUUAUAAUUGAGUCUUCUUUGUUUACAUCAUUACACUCUAAUUGUAUUUAUUUAUACUCUUAUCCAAUUACUUAAAUUUUAACAUACUUUAACGAGUCUGUGAAUGAUAAAUCAUAGAUUGAACUGUUGAAUCGAAAAAAUUAGGUGCUAUCAUAUAAUUUUGUAUCGAAUAAAUUCACAAAUUGGAAAUAAACGAACUCAAAUUGUUGCCAUUCGUCAUAGAAUAAACCAUCGCCUCUUAGGGCCCUUGGCUAAUGAUAAACAAUAACUCUCCCGAACACAACUUACAAUUUUCAUUUGUACUGUGUUCUCCAAAGAACAACUCUUCUCAAAAUCUUAAAAGGUGCUAAGUUGGAAUCUAAUCAUAAUUACGGAUUCUUGUGGUUCUAGAGGACCCAAUUACAGGAAAACUAGGAACGAAGAGCUUUCCCAUUUUUUUCAUGACUCUUUGGUCUUAAAAAUGUUGGUUUUAAAAAUGAGUGAUUGCCCUUCUCCAAUCCUUAUUACCUAACCUAAGAAUGGAGAGCUAAUGCGUUCCCACUUAUUGAAUAAGGUUUUAUGGUCGAUCCACAACCCCUAGAUGCCAAAGGUACCAUUGGGGUGAUCUUGUAAUUCCUAAGGGUGGAGAUUCAAUUAUUGAAAUAAGAAAUUUGAUAGAUUACUAUAUAUAUAUAUAUAUAUAAUGACUCCGUAUAAAAUAAAAAUAGGAAAUUAAGUUAUAUAUUAUUAAUAUUAUUUUAUUAUAUUGGGGGGUUGUAUUUGGCAUUUGUUGAGUUUCAUUUUCACCAUCUCGUCUCACCCACGAAGUAAAUAACGAAAAGUAUGUAAAUAAUCAAAUGGUUUCGACAUUUCUAUUCAAAGAAACUACCUUUAUCCAACAUAAAAGGUGUUGUGUUGGUCAAAAAUAACAAUUUAGGAUUAUAAAAAGUUUAUAUUUAAAUUUUAUAUAUUUGGUAAAUAUUAAUUUUAAAAUUAUUAAUAUUUAUAUUUGAUAAAUAUUAAUUUUUUUAUUUUAUCAUAAAAAAUAUCAUUUUAUCCAAAUAAGUGUAAUUAUACCUUAUAAUUUCUCUGUUUCCACUCUCCAAACAUGUGAAAAAAAAAUUAAUUUUGAGAUUUCAUGUAUAAUUUGCAAAAUUGGUGAAAAUAAGAUUAUUGGCUCACUCAACCAAAUCAACGGGUGAAGCUAGCUCCCUCAAAUAAAGGGUGUUUUUUAUGCUGACCCAAGUCUAGCGAUGAUAAUGUGAUGUGUUAGCGCGCCCUUGUCUCCCAAACCAGGGAAUGAAUCUUUAUUUCUAACUCUUUCUCACCUAGUAUGGGUGGAUGCGCCUUUGGCUCUGCCUUUGUAGGCACUAUAUUUGGAUCUGCUACUUGGUCUAAACAACUACUCAUCAAGUAGGAUCGGAUGGUCAAUCAAAGGGAUUGGUUUGGGCAUGCUCUCGAGGAGUAUAUCCAACCAUGUUUAGCAUCUUCUCGUCAAGCAAGGAAAAGAAAGGUAGUAAGAGGAGUAAGGAGCAGAGGUAGGGAGCAAAGGAAGCUGAGUAGGUCUUGAGUCUUUAGGUCUUUCAUUUUGUAAUCAAGGAUAAAAUUUUGAGAAAUUAUAUGUUUUUACAACCCAUGUAAAAUUUGUUUCAAUUUUUUUUUUUAAUCAUUUUACAACAAGCAAAAAGGGGUGCAAGUGAUUUGGGUAUUGGGCACAGGGAAGUGGUGUUUAAGUGGGGGAAAGGGGGUUGGGGUUUACUGAAAUUAGGAAUGACAUUCUUAAUGGUGCAAUCCUAAAAAUGAAUGACAGUUUGAUAAAUAUAAUAUAAAAAUAAGGAUAAAAUACAAUUACAACAAAAAUGCGUCUAAAUUUAAAAAAGGGUUGAAGUUGACUGAAAUUACAAGAAUAUCAUUCAUAAUUGGUGUAGCCACAAAAUGAAAUGAAUGACACUUGGUAAAUAUAAUAUAAAAAUAAGGAUAAAAUAUUGUCAUAACAAAAUGUGUCUAAGUUGGAAAGAGUGUUAAGUUAGCUUAAAUUAUACUAAUGUCAUUUUUCAUAGAUCAAUUGAGGUGUUGUAGAAUGACAAUUUGAUAAAUAUUCGAAGAAACUAAGUAUAAGAAAGGUAAAAAAAAGUAACAAUAAAAUGUGAAUUUUGGCUUUUAUAGUAUAAAGAUAUUUAGAAAAAAGUUUUUUAAAAAAUAUUGUGGAUGAAUUUUGAAUUAUACAACUCAAUUGAUUCAAAUUUGAAAUAAUGAAAUUGGAUUAGACAUAGAUUGAGUACUUUAUGUUAAAAAUUGGAUUGGAUUAAAUUUGAGUUAAUCAUUUAUAAUUCAAGUUGGGAUCAGGUUUGCCAACAACUUAAUCCAUUUGUCUAAAUUGUUGCAUAAAGAUAAUUAGAUUAGGCUCAAAUUAAUUAUUUCUUGAUUUGAAUUGGGAUGGACUUUGUCAUCAACUCAAUGAACGUCUUCAAAAUUUUCAUCUGCAAUGUAGAUUUCUCGGUUUUAAUGGAAAUUUGUUUUUAUUCCCCUUUUUUGUAUUUAAAAUUUUCAAUACCUAUAAACUUGAUGAACCCAAUUGUGGCUACAUUAUGCUAAAUCAUAGAAAAUAAAUAAAUAUAUAUUAAGCUUUAUUAAUAGGGAAACUUGUGUUUUGAUGGAGCCAUUUGGGAAAUAUAUGGUUUUCAGAACCCAACUGAAAUAUGAAAAUCAACUUUUAAUGUGAAAAAUUAUAUAUUUUUUAUGCACUCUGAGUCGGCUACAUAUUUUGUGCUGAGAUUGCCUUUUUUUUUUCCUCCUGUACCCACCAUCCACUUCUCUCUCUCUCUCCAGUGAAACUGGUCGACACUUUGUCGACGUCAUCACCGACCUCCCUCUCUCUCCCUUUCCCUUCCCUCUUUCUCUUUCUUUCCUUCCCUUUCGACAUCACCAAGAGAGAAGAAGGCGGUGACAAUGGUGGAGAACCAGGGCUAGAGGGAAGAAGGCGUGGUUGGUUGCCAUUGACAACAGCAACCAACAACUCUCGCGAUCAUUGACGGCGGCGGCGACGGAAGCACCAACGUAGGGAGAGAGGGGAGCACCACCGUUAUAGCAAAAUUCAAAUUCAAAGCAUCCAAAACCCAAAUCCAUAAACCAAACAAAAUACCCAUUAAUGUAAUAACUCCAUACAAAUUUAGCUAAUAUAAGGGCAAAUGAAGAAGGAGAAGGAAAAGAUAAGAUCCACCCAUCACUGAGAAGUGGAUUCUCUUAUAGUACUAAAUCAAAUUCCCAACAAACAAACAAAAAUUAAAGAAGAGGGAUGAAUCUGGAAUACCUCCACGGUCAAGAAGAAGAACAGUGGUGGGAGAGGAACAAGACUUAAAGGGCUUGUCACCCUCAAAAGGCACACACCCAAAAGAGCCUUUUUUAGGAUAAACAACAGACCCCACCAUGGAUCCUCCAUAAUCAAGAAUACCAACCCGCCUCUCCUCGACGUCUCUCCCUACGCUGGUGCUUCCACCACCGUCGCUGUCAAUGAUCGCGAGAGUUGCUAGUUGUCGCCGUCAAUGGCAACCAGCCGCGCCUUAUUCCCUCCGGCCCUGGUUCUUCACCAUUAUAAUCGCCUUCUUCUCUUUGGGUGAUGUCGAAAGGGAAGGAAAGAAAGAGAAAGAGGGAAGAGAAAGGAAGAGAAGGGGAGACCAGUGAUGACACGGCAAAGUGUCGGUCGGUUUCACUAGGGAGGGAGGAAGAGGUGAAUGGUGGGUACGGGAGGAAAAAAAAAAAAGGUAAUCUCGACACAAAAUAUGUAGCCGGCUCAGAGUGUAUAAAAAAUAUAUAAUUUUUCACAUUAAAAGCUGAUUUUCAGAUUUUAUAAAGUUGGGUUCCGAAAACCAUAUAUUUCCCAAAUAGCCUCAUCAAAAUACAAGUUUCCUUUAUUAAUACCAAGUGAAACCAUCCAAUCAUUAUCUACCUUUUAUUAUUUAUUUGUAUUCUUGUUCCACAUGGCCUCUUUGGCCACGUUUGGCAUUCACCACCGCCAAAAAAUAUUUGAUUGUGCUCCACAUGACAGUUUUAAGUAUAGACCAUGUUUGGCUAGUUCUUCAUUAUUGCCAAAAUAUCAUUAAAAAAAACCUUAAAACCUCAUCCCCUUACUUCUUCCUUUGAAACCUUAAACCCCAAAGACCCACAAACUUAAUACAAAUAUCGAAGAAUUGAGAUUUUGAUUAAAGAUAUGGAUUGCAACAGUAGAUUUUUAUGUUUUUUUUUUUUUGGCAAUAUUUUGCUUUUCCUUUUCAUAGUUGGGAAAAUUUUGUAAAAGAGAAUAAAUGUUGGGUGUUUAGGUGUUUAUAGUUUCCUUUUCAUAGUUGAAAAAUUUUCGAGAGAGUAAAUUUUGGAGAUUCAAUUUUCGUUCCUCUUCCUCGAAAGCCUUAACUUCCCAAAGCCUUAAAGUCUCAUAAUUAUCAAUUGAUUUUUUCUAUUUUGGGGUUGUUUUUUUUGUUAUUUUUUCAUAAAAUGAAUUGAAUUUGGCUACCAAGACAACCAAUUUUUCUUCUAGGCUCGUUAAUUCUGUUUAUUUAGGAAUAAUGUUCCACUAAAAGGCACAAAUUUUUUAUUUUUUGUUUUUUUGGGUUCCUUUUGAAUCUACUAUUGUUCUCAUGAUAUAAAGAGCUUAAACAUCACUCUAUUUUAUGAGUGAAAAGGAAAAGAUGAGUUUAGAUCAAUCUCUAUUGUCUUUUUGUUUUUUUUUUUUAACUAAAAAAUCUUGAAUUUUUUGAGCUUUAAUUAAUAUUUAAUAUAAAAUAUAUAUAUAUAACCUUGCACAACACUUGACCCUACACAAAGAGAUUUUAGAGCUUCAAGAAAUAAGAGCAAGGCAGAA
rnacentral:lncRNA from 1 species